rnacentral:misc_RNA from 1 species
ACUCUACAAAAUGAAAGUUAAGAGGUAAGUAUUUAAUACUCUGAAAAGAGAAAUUGUGAUAGAAGGAAGAAUAUCAUAUAAAUAUUUAACACCAUAUAAAAUAAAAUUGUUUAGCAACUCAUGGCAUUUUAAAUGAGGGUACAUUGGUAGAACCACAAACUUAUAAAAUUUAAAUAUUUCUUCAAAAUAAAUUGUUAAAAUGCAUAUUAGUAAAAUAAUGCAACAUAAUAUGGUUUUAAAUAACGGCCAUUAAAUACCGUAACAACCGCUAUUUAAAUGGAUUUUAGUUUGAUGUUACUGUUACCAGUAUUAUUUAAUGGAUUUUUAAAAAAUUGUAACUUUAAAGGCCGUUACGACUGUUAUAUAAAAGUAACAGCCGUUACCGACAGUUACUUUUACUUUUCCAACUGAGAAUCUUUG